rnacentral:rRNA from 1 species
GACGAACGCUGGCGGCGUGCCUAAUACAUGCAAGUUGAGCGAUGAAGAUUGGUGCUUGCACCAAUUUGAAGAGCAGCGAACGGGUGAGUAACGCGUGGGGAAUCUGCCUUUGAGCGGGGGACAACAUUUGGAAACGAAUGCUAAUACCGCAUAACAACUUUAAACAUAAGUUUUAAGUUUGAAAGACGCAAUUGCAUCACUCAAAGAUGAUCCCGCGUUGUAUUGGCUAGUUGGUGAGGUAAAGGCUCACCCAGGCGAUGAUACAUAGCCGACCUGAGAGGGUGAUCGGCCAAAAUGGGACUGGGACACGGCCCAAACUCCUACGGGAGGCAGCAGUAGGGAAUCUUCGGCAAUGGACGAAAGUCUGACCGAGCAACGCCGCGUGAGUGAAGAAGGUUUUCGGAUCGUAAAACUCUGUUGGUAGAGAAGAACGUUGGUGAGAGUGGAAAGCUCAUCAAGUGACGGUAACUACCCAGAAAGGGACGGCUAACUACGUG